UACGUAGGGACCAAGCGUUGUUCGGAUUUACUGGGCGUAAAGGGCGCGUAGGCGGCAUGACAAGUCACUUGUGAAAUCUUCGGGCUUAACCCGGAACGGCCAAGUGAUACUGUCGCGCUAGAGUGCAGAAGGGGCAAUCGGAACUCUCGGUGUAGCGGUGAAAUGCGUAGAUAUCGAGAGGAACACCAGAGGUGAAGACGGGUUGCUGGGCUGACACUGACGCUGAGGCGCGAAAGCCAGGGGAGCAAACGGG
rnacentral:rRNA from 1 species